AUCCAACUGACGAGUCCCAAGCAGGAUGAGAUGCGUGUCCUGGAU
rfam:Schistosoma curassoni strain Dakar, Senegal genome assembly, scaffold: SCTD_scaffold0000458